rnacentral:tRNA from 1 species
GCCGAAGUGGUGGAAUUGGUAGACACGCAUGGUUCAGGACCAUGUGGUUUUACGACCGUGGAAGUUCGAGUCUUCUCUUCGGCACCA